rnacentral:snoRNA from 1 species
AAGCCUAUACUUUCAGGGAUUAUUUCUAUAGUAUGUUACAAAAGGCAGCUCUACUGCAAAUCCAGGCUACAUACUGAGACAUACUGUCUCACAUUUGG